rnacentral:rRNA from 1 species
AUUGAACGCUGGCGGCAGGCCUAACACAUGCAAGUCGAACGAGCGGCGGCCGGGUGAGUAAUGUCUGGGAAACUGCCUGAUGGAGGGGGAUAACUACUGGAAACGGUAGCUAAUACCGCAUACCAUCGGAUGUGCCCAGAUGGGAUUAGCCAGUAGGUGGGGGAAAGGAUCACCUAGGCGACGACCCCUAGCUGGUCUGAGAGGAUGACAAGCCACACUGGAACUGUGACACGGUCCAGACUCCUACGGGAGGCAGCAGGGGGGAAUAUUGCACAAUGGGCGCAAGCCUGAUGCAGCCACGCCGCGUGUAUGAAGAAGGCCUUCGGGUUGUAAAGUACUUUCAGCGGGGAGGCGUUACCCGCAGAAGAAGCACCGGCUAACUCCGUGCCAGCCGCCGCGGUAAUUC